CCUACGGGGUGCAGCAGUGAGGAAUAUUGGUCAAUGGGCGGGAGCCUGAACCAGCCAAGCCGCGUGAGGGAAGAAGGCUCCAAGCAUCGUAAACCUCUUUUAUCAGGGAAUAAAGUGCGGGACGUGUCCCAUUUUGUGUGUACCCGAUGAAUAAGGAUCGGCUAACUCCGUGCCAGCAGCCGCGGUAAUACGGAGGAUCCGAGCGUUAUCCGGAUUUAUUGGGUUUAAAGGGUGCGUAGGCGGGCGUGGAAGUCAGCGGUGAAAGCCCGGGGCUCAACCACAGAAUGGCCGUUGAAACUGGCGGACUAGAGAAUGUGAGAAGCAGGCGGAAUGCGUGGUGUAGCGGUGAAAUGCAUAGAUAUCACGCAGAACCCCGAUUGCGAAGGCAGCGU
rnacentral:rRNA from 1 species